rnacentral:rRNA from 1 species
UCUACAGGCUUAACACAUGCAAGUCGAGGGGCAGCAUGGUCUUAGCUUGCUAAGGCCGAUGGCGACCGGCGCACGGGUGAGUAACACGUAUCCAACCUGCCGUCUACUCUUGGACAGCCUUCUGAAAGGAAGAUUAAUACAAGAUGGCAUCAUGAGUCCGCAUGUUCACAUGAUUAAAGGUAUUCCGGUAGACGAUGGGGAUGCGUUCCAUUAGAUAGUAGGCGGGGUAACGGCCCACCUAGUCUUCGAUGGAUAGGGGUUCUGAGAGGAAGGUCCCCCACAUUGGAACUGAGACACGGUCCAAACUCCUACGGGAGGCAGCAGUGAGGAAUAUUGGUCAAUGGGCGAGAGCCUGAACCAGCCAAGUAGCGUGAAGGAUGACUGCCCUAUGGGUUGUAAACUUCUUUUAUAAAGGAAUAAAGUCGGGUAUGCAUACCCGUUUGCAUGUACUUUAUGAAUAAGGAUCGGCUAACUCCGUGCCAGCAGCCGCGGUAAUACGGAGGAUCCGAGCGUUAUCCGGAUUUAUUGGGUUUAAAGGGAGCGUAGAUGGAUGUUUAAGUCAGUUGUGAAAGUUUGCGGCUCAACCGUAAAAUUGCAGUUGAUACUGGAUAUCUUGAGUGCAGUUGAGGCAGGCGGAAUUCGUGGUGUAGCGGUGAAAUGCUUAGAUAUCACGAAGAACUCCGAUUGCGAAGGCAGCCUGCUAAGCUGCAACUGACAUUGAGGCUCGAAAGUGUGGGUAUCAAACAGGAUUAGAUACCCUGGUAGUCCACACGGUAAACGAUGAAUACUCGCUGUUUGCGAUAUACUGCAAGCGGCCAAGCGAAAGCGUUAAGUAUUCCACCUGGGGAGUACGCCGGCAACGGUGAAACUCAAAGGAAUUGACGGGGGCCCGCACAAGCGGAGGAACAUGUGGUUUAAUUCGAUGAUACGCGAGGAACCUUACCCGGGCUUAAAUUGCAGAUGAAUUACGGUGAAAGCCGUAAGCCGCAAGGCAUCUGUGAAGGUGCUGCAUGGUUGUCGUCAGCUCGUGCCGCGAGGUGUCGGCUUAAGUGCCAUAACGAGCGCAACCCUUGUUGUCAGUUACUAACAGGUUCCGCUGAGGACUCUGACAAGACUGCCAUCGUAAGAUGUGAGGAAGGUGGGGAUGACGUCAAAUCAGCACGGCCCUUACGUCCGGGGCUACACACGUGUUACAAUGGGGGGUACAGAGGGCCGCUACCACGCGAGUGGAUGCCAAUCCCCAAAACCUCUCUCAGUUCGGACUGGAGUCUGCAACCCGACUCCACGAAGCUGGAUUCGCUAGUAAUCGCGCAUCAGCCACGGCGCGGUGAAUACGUUCCCGGGCCUUGUACACACCGCCCGUCAAGCCAUGGGAGCCGGGGGUACCUGAAGUGCGUAACCGCGAGGAGCGCCCUAGGGUAAAACUGGUGACUGGGGC